CCCUUAGAUGUCCUGGGCCGCACGCGCGCUACACUGACGGAGCCAGCGAGCUUACCCCUUUGCCGAAAGGCAUGGGAAAUCUUUUGAAUCUCCGUCGUGCUGGGGAUAGAUCAUUGCAAUUAUUGAUCUUGAACGAGGAAUUCCUAGUAAACGCAGAUCAUCAAUCUGCAUUGAUUACGUCCCUGCCCUUUGUACACACCGCCCGUCGCACCUACCGAUUGGAUGGUCCGGUGAAGCCUCGGGAUUGUGGUUCUUGCCGCUUUAUUGUGGCGUGACCGCGAGAACUUGUCUAAACCUUAUCAUCUAGAGGAAGGUGAAGUCGUAACA
rnacentral:rRNA from 1 species